AGCGGAGCGGCCGGCGCGCGCGAGGCGGUCCGGCCGCCCCAAUAAAGUCUGCUUUGACGAGAAACGCCUGUGCUUCCUUUUUCGCGUCGCGCGGCGUUUGCUCUUGGCUCCUGGCUCCGGGCAAGCGAUGGCGGCGGGAGGUGCUUUGGACGGAGAGGCCAACCCCAAGAAGAACGAGAGCAUUGUCACAGUGGGCAGCCCAGCGCUGGCAAGAGAUAAAAGGAAAAAGAAGCAAGCAGAGA